GACGAACGCUGGCGGCGUGCCUAAUACAUGCAAGUCGAACGGUCUUUUCUAUGGAAGCUUGCUUCCACUGAGAAGAUAGUGGCGAACGGGUGAGUAACACGUGGGUAACCUGCCCAUAAGGGGGGGAUAACAUCCGGAAACGGGUGCUAAUACCGCAUAGGUUUCUUGGUCGCAUGAUCGAGAAAGGAAAGACGGCCUUUGUGCUGUCGCUUAUGGAUGGACCCGCGGCGUAUUAGUUAGUUGGUGAGGUAACGGCUCACCAAGACGAUGAUACGUAGCCGACCUGAGAGGGUGAUCGGCCACAUUGGGACUGAGACACGGCCCAAACUCCUACGGGAGGCAGCAGUAGGGAAUCUUCCGCAAUGGACGAAAGUCUGACGGAGCAACGCCGCGUGAGUGAAGAAGGUUUUCGGAUCGUAAAACUCUGUUGUCAGAGAAGAACAAGUCGGAGAGUAACUGCUCCGGCCUUGACGGUAUCUGACCAGAAAGCCACGGCUAACUACGUGCCAGCCGCCGCAGUAACAC
rnacentral:rRNA from 1 species